GAGGUGAAGGCCAAGCGCGCCACCAUUUGCAUUUGCAGAUAGAGCGAGCGAUAGAAAUGAGCCUUGUCCAAAGAGCCUCUCCAAGCCUCCCCAAGCUUUUUGGAUUUGCAAAGAGGUCCUUCAAGUCCUUGAGAUUUCCGGGUGAGCCCCUCGACCCUUCGUCUUCUCCCAUCCUCUCCUACGGAAUCCAUGUCUUCCAUGCCCCCGAUGCAGUUGGGAUUGUGGCCAAGCUCUCGGAUUGCAUUGCUUCUAAAGGUGGAAACAUACUCGGUGCCAGUGUCUUCGUGCCCGAAAACAAGCACGUCUUCUAUUCCAGAAGUGAAUUUAUUUUCGAUCCCAUUAAAUGGCCAAGAUCGGAAAUGGAUGAGGAUUUCCGUAAGCUGUUGACAACGUACUCUGCGAUGAGAUCUGUUGUCCGGGUUCCAGAUCACGACCCCAAGUAUAAGAUUUGUAUCCUUGCCUCAAAGCAGGAUCAUUGUUUGGUUGAUUUGUUACAUCAGUGGCAGGAAGGCAGACUUCCAGUAGACAUAACUUGUGUUAUAAGUAAUCAUGAUAGAGGUCCAAACACCCAUGUGUCUCGCUUUCUUGAAAGACAUGGUAUACCUUAUCAUUAUCUGCAAACAACCAACACUGACAAAAGAGAAGGGGAGAUAUUGGAGUUGGUUCAAAAUACUGAUUUUUUAGUUCUUGCCAGGUACAUGCAGUUAUUAUCUGGCGAUUUUUUGAAGAGCUACGGAAAGGAUGUAAUUAACAUUCAUCAUGGCCUUUUGCCAUCAUUCAAGGGUGGAAAACCAUCUAAACAGGCUUUUGAUGCAGGGGUGAAACUUAUUGGUGCAACAAGUCAUUUUGUCACCCAAGAACUCGAUGCUGGUCCUAUUAUUGAACAGAUGGUUGCAAGAGUUUCACACAGAGAUAACUUGCAGAGUUUUGUGCAGAAGUCAGAGAACCUCGAAAAACAAUGCCUUACGAAGGCAAUCAAAUCGUACUGUGAGCUGCGAGUGUUACCUUAUGAGGAUAACAAGACUGUUGUAUUUUGAGGGAAAAAAGAACAUACUUCUGAGGAAGACAAGACCAUGUUGCGUAGCAAUGUGUCUUUUUAUACAUGUAUGCACUGUCACUCAUUGGCAAAAAGUAAAGAAGCAAGACAAGAAAUUCAUUACUUGUACCUGUAGCAGUUGCUGCUGUGAGAGUCAUAAGGUCACCAGGACUUUGAAUGUCCACUGCUGAUCUAACAGCAGAUGCCACACGGCCAUUUCAAUGCAAUGCAAUGCCAGCAACUCUGUAGCCAAAGCCAAAGCCAAAGCCAUGGUCGUUUUUGAGCCAGAACCACUAGAGUUUUCUGCUGCAGUCAGUUACAGCAGCCAAGGCUGCAGCAACUCCUGCAAUGGAGACAGCAUAAUGCACUCGUGCUCUUUCUACCCGUUCCUUAUCUUUCUUAUUCACUGUGCUACUAGUGAACUCCUUAUGGUGGAACU